CUCACCUUUGUUUUAUCUCUCCAGCCGCCACACCUUCUCCCAUUUUCCCAACUCCUUCGUCAACCACUAGAGAAGCUAAGGCAAAUUGUGGAAUCAUCAAGCUAAGAUUGUAUUGAUCAGACUAAGGUGCAGUUGGAGCAAUAGAAGGAGAGAAAGGGGAAGAUUGUGUGGCUUUUGGUCUCAAGCAAAAUAUUGCUAACAUGAUCCGAUACAUAGAGAAUUAUGUAUUUUAAAUGUUUUGAAAUUUUGAAUAUACAAUUAUGUGCAAGUUGGAACCUA